AACGAACGUUGGCGGCGCGCCUAACACAUGCAAGUCGCACAAGAAAGGGAGCAAUCCCCGGUACAGUGGCGCACGGGUGAGUAACACGUGGAUAAUCUUCCCUUGGGCGGGGGAUAACCUUCCGAAAGGAGGGCUAAUACCGUAUAAGACCACAGCGAGUUCGCUCGCAGGGGUCAAAGCUGGCCUCUUCAUGAAAGCUAGCACCUAAGGAUGAGUCCGCGUCCCAUCAGCUAGUUGGUAGUGUAAAAGACUACCAAGGCGAAGACGGGUAGCUGGUCUGAGAGGAUGAUCAGCCACACUGGAACUGAGACACGGUCCAGACUCCUACGGGAGGCAGCAGUGGGGAAUCUUGCGCAAUGGGCAAAAGCCUGACGCAGCGACGCCGCGUGGGUGAUGAAGGCCCUCGGGUUGUAAAGCCCUGUGGGGAGGGACGAAUAAGUCGUGGCUAAUAUCCACGAUGAUGACGGUACCUCCUUAGCAAGCACCGGCUAACUCUGUGCCAGCCGCCGCAGUAA
rnacentral:rRNA from 1 species